GACGAACGCUGGCGGCGUGCCUAAUACAUGUAAGUCGAGCGCAGGAAACUGACGGAACUCUUCGGAGGGAAGGCAGUGGAAUGAGCGGCGGACGGGUGAGUAACACGUAAGGAACCUGCCUCAAGGAUUGGGAUAACUCCGAGAAAUCGGAGCUAAUACCGGAUAGUUCAUCGGACCGCAUGGUCCGUUGAUGAAAGGCGCUUCGGCGUCACCUUGAGAUGGCCUUGCGGUGCAUUAGCUAGUUGGUGGGGUAACGGCCCACCAAGGCGACGAUGCAUAGCCGACCUGAGAGGGUGAUCGGCCACACUGGGACUGAGACACGGCCCAGACUCCUACGGGAGGCAGCAGUAGGGAAUCUUCCACAAUGGACGAAAGUCUGAUGGAGCAACGCCGCGUGAGUGAUGAAGGUUUUCGGAUCGUAAAACUCUGUUGUAAGGGAAGAACACGUACGAGAGGAAAUGCUCGUACCUUGACGGUACCUUACGAGAAAGCCACGGCUAACUACGUGCCAGCCGCCGCAGUAAGAC
rnacentral:rRNA from 1 species